GUGGAUUAGAUACUCUGGUAGUCCACGCCCUAAACGAUGUCAACUAGUUGUUGGGAGGGUAAAACCUUUUAGUAACGUAGCUAACGCGUGAAGUUGACCGCCUGGGGAGUACGGCCGCAAGGCUAAAACUCAAAGGAAUUGACGGGGACCCGCACAAGCGGUGGAUGAUGUGGAUUAAUUCGAUGCAACGCGAAAAACCUUACCUACCCUUGACAUGUCAGAAAUCCCUGAGAGAUUAGGGAGUGCCGCAAGGAAUCUGAACACAGGUGCUGCAUGGUCGUCGUCAACU
rnacentral:rRNA from 1 species